CUUUUCAAGCUGAGAAACUGCUGGACUGAAGGGAGGAAAUUAAGUAAGAACAGAAAAGAGGGGAGAAGGGAAGCAUUUGUAAGCAGCCAUAGCAGAUGUAGAGGUGAAAUAUUUGUCAGUGAAGGCAUCUAGUCUCUUUUUACCCCAAAGUGGGAUUACCUCUGACUGUCCCUAUGUAUAAAUCAGUUCUCAGCCCAGUUUCUGUAGGCACAGAGCACCUUCAAGCUCCCACUAGUACUGCUCUUAGCCAUGCUGAUCUCUAAAAGUCAGCCCAACACCCCUAUCACACAGCAUGCCAUGUGCCAAAAGCUCUGUUACAUCCUUGCACUCAUUCGUACAGCUUGGCUGCAGACUUCCUGCAGGGUUUUGAUCACUGCCUCCACUUUGGAAGGGGCCUUGCACAGAGCUCGCUCCCACCAAUGACCAAAGGAGCCUUCAGAGCCACUGCCUGUUUCUUCUUAGAGGGAAGUCGCUGAGAACAAAUGCAUGGAAAUAUGAGGAACCCUUGUAAGAGAUGGGAUGACUAGAAGUGUUUUGCUCUCUUACAAGAAGAGAAUAACGGCAUUUAAUGGACUAGAAGGACUGCUGACACUCCAGAACUGUAUCAGAAGUCAUGGGGCUCAGGCUCUGUUCCCAUCUCUGGUGCAAACCUAUUGCACGAUGCACAUUCUCCGCAAUCCACUCACCUAAAUCUGUUUUGUUUUGUUUUUUAAACAAAGUCAUUGGCCCUCGUGUUGAGCCUUACAGCAACAAGAAGCUUCUUGGCUGCAUCAAUACGUCAGAAACUAGUAAGACAGAAUCAACAAUUUGCUGCAAGCAUUUCUGGUUAAGAGAUCAAAGGUACUUCUAUCAACUCAAAUGAGAACAGAAUAUCUGGAAGCACUCAAAAUAGCACAGCCUCCUGUGUCAGGACACGCCACAUAUUUCAGAAUUGUAGUUUCAAGCUUAUUGUGUGUGCUGAUGUGUAAGGUGGGACAGCACCUUGCCUCUGCAGCCCUCAGUGCUCCCAUAGUACCAGCAACAGAGAAGUGCAUCACGCCAAGCUGUGGGGAAUAACCCUCAGUGCCCGCCUCCCCCCAGCCCCUGCGGGAUGCCAUCUGAUUGUGAGGGCAGCAGGCAGCACUUGUCAUAAAGGCUUGGCUGACUGACUGCUCACUGGGUGAAAUCAGAGGUUUUCGGAGAGAUUCGUGCAUUGAUUCCUCAAUGGAGAAUACUGUGCCUGUGCCAUCUGUUAAGCAAAGUGCUGCACGUACAUUGCAAUAUGCCCUGCAGCAUGCGACAGAGCCUUGCAGAUUAGAUGUGAAGAGAAGUGGCUGUAAGGGGAGAGAAAAGCCCAGGUGCUGGAGCUGCUACAGAGCGGUCCUGCAUCUCUUGGAUCUUUCGGUGUGUGAGCCAUCAAAUUUGGAUGCCUUUACAGUUUUGGGCUGGCAAGGUUUGGUUCUCAUUAAGUGAGUAAAAUGUCCCCCACAUUCAGAUUCCAGCCUGGAUUCUGCAGUGCCGCCUUAGCAGCCAGCAGCAGGAGUGAGCUGCACAACCUCCCAGCCACUGCCCUCAAGCAUUCCCAGCACUGAUAAAUAAAUGUACCUUACAAACUCUGGCAAAUUCAAAGCUGAAUUUUAAAAAAAGAAGCCUUUAGAAAUCUCCGGGAUUUUAGCCACCAGCACGUAACAGCCUCCAGGAUGUUCCCCGCCGUGUAACAUUUAAAACAAUGACUUAUUUUCAGAGGAAGAACGUAACCGUCAAAAAGUAGCUCUUUUUGAGCCAUGUUAAUUAGCUGCACAGCCUGCGCUUCAACACAGGUGAUUUCCAGCUACCAACCUUUGAACUGAUGGAAGUUUCUGUGUGAUAUCAGCUUUCCAAUGGGCACCUGCAUAUAAAGUUCAUACGUUUUAAUUCGUGACUGAUGGCUACAGCUUAAAAAUCCCAGAGUUUACAACAAACAGCUUUUAGGCUGCGCAGUGCAGAAGAAAAGCAGAGAUUUUUGGUUCAGCUUGUUGAUAUUUCCUAAAAUCUCUGAAAGGCCAGAUUUCCUGGCUCGCAGCUGAAGGUCAGCAGUCACACAGGGAGUGCUACACGCAUCAGAACGAGGAAGAAGAAACGAUUGGCACAGUAUCGCAAUGUAAUUAAACAGUGACUUAAGUGGGGAAAAAUGGAGAGGACAGAGACAGGCGAGGACUGCAGCCCAACAAGAGAGCCUUCACAGGGGGCAGAGGAACAACCCUGUUUCUUGCAGCCCCCGUGUCACAGGAAAAAAAAGCUCAUUUUCCUAUGGAAGUUCCCCCAAACCCUCUCGAUGUUUGUCACCCACUCUGGGCACAGCACAAGAUGUGAUGGCACCGGAGAGGUGAGCUCUGUCUCUGCAGCCAGCAGAGGGGGCCCGGUGCAGCUCUCAGCCGCCUCCUGAAAUCCCUGCCAGAGCAAAGCUGCUUGCCCGAGUACAUUGCUUAUCACAUUAUAUCACAUACUGAAAGUUUCCAAUAUUGGGACUGACAGGGCUACGACACAUUUCCCAAACUCUUCCCCAAACCCAACUGCAGCCCCCAGCUGAACCCCAGGACGUCAGCACCAACAGAGCAGCGGUGCACCUCGCCCUGCCAAUGAAGUGCCCUGCUCAGACCUCCAUGUUUGCCCUAGCACUUGCUCAUAGCCAGCAUAUGCCUUCAACACUUAGGA